UACGAAGGGGGCUAGCGUUGCUCGGAAUCACUGGGCGUAAAGGGUGCGUAGGCGGGUCUUUAAGUCAGGGGUGAAAUCCUGGAGCUCAACUCCAGAACUGCCUUUGAUACUGAGGAUCUUGAGUUCGGGAGAGGUGAGUGGAACUGCGAGUGUAGAGGUGAAAUUCGUAGAUAUUCGCAAGAACACCAGUGGCGAAGGCGGCUCACUGGCCCGAUACCGACGCUGAGGCACGAAAGCGUGGGGAGCAA
rnacentral:rRNA from 1 species